rnacentral:rRNA from 1 species
GACGAACGCUGGCGGCGUGCCUAAUACAUGCAAGUAGAACGCUGAAGAGAGGAGCUUGCUCUUCUUGGAUGAGUUGCGAACGGGUGAGUAACGCGUAGGUAACCUGCCUUGUAGCGGGGGAUAACUAUUGGAAACGAUAGCUAAUACCGCAUAACAAUGGAUGACACAUGUCAUUUAUUUGAAAGGGGCAAUUGCUCCACUACAAGAUGGACCUGCGUUGUAUUAGCUAGUAGGUGAGGUAAUGGCUCACCUAGGCGACGAUACAUAGCCGACCUGAGAGGGGGGUCGGCCACACUGGGACUGGGACACGGCCCAGACUCCUACGGGGAGGAGCCGUAGGGAAUCUUCGGCAAUGGGGGGAACGCUGACCGAGCAACGCCGGGUGGGGGAAGGAGGGUUUCGGAUCGUAAAGCUCUGUUGUAAGUCAAGGACGGGUGUGAGGGUGGAAAGUUCACACUGUGACGGUAGCUGACCAGAAAGGGACGGCUAACUACGUG